AUCUGAUGAUCAGGGCAACUGGCACACAACCACUUGAAUCUCUCCCAAUACUCAUAUAAUGUCUCCCCAGUAUGUUGGCGAAUGCCACAAAUUUCCUACCUUAUACU